rnacentral:lncRNA from 1 species
AAUCCACAUGACCCAAGAGUAACGCCAUCUGUGCCUCUUGGGAGAUCAUCUUCACCCUCUGUAUCUUCUUUGUAAAAUGGGAGCCACCUACUUUCCAGGGUUGUGGUGAGAUAAUAUCUUGGUAAGCAAAUUGCAAACCUUCAAGUUAUAUUUAGGUAUAUAUAUAUAUAAUUUAUAACAUGAUAUAUGAUAUAUAAUAAAUAUAUACAAUAUGUGCCAACUAUUAUUAAUAUUCUAGAGGGGGAGACAACAAAGACAUAGAUCAAAAUGUAAUUGGUUGUUAUGUUUAUAGUCUUUCAAAUAUUGAUGCUCAGAAACAAAAUAGGUUCUGGACAUGAGUUCUUAUGGGAAAUGAGCAUAUAAGGACCCAACUCGGGAGACAGAAAGCUCUAAGGGCAACAUUGGUAAUGUUAUAAGGCAAAGUUCAGUUAAGGAGGAAAGUGUGUGUUGGCAGAGGGCAGAGGCAUGGGACAGCAGAGUGAGGGAUUCUGGAAUUCUGCAAGGGAGAGUCAAGCUGUUGCUAAGAGACAGUUGGGCCUUGUGCUGGCUCUAUCUCUCUGGUUUACCUGGAGGGGACUGACUGCCUUCCCUUGUUGGCUGUUGGCUGUCUGGUUUUCUCCAUCCUACCUGCUUCUCUGCAGAGCUUCCUGCUGUGGAGUUCCAGGAAAGCCAUUUAACACAUACUUUCCAGCCCUUGCCACUCUUCUUGGAGCCAAUUCUAAAUGGAAGGAGACUCUCCAUCUUCAUGCCACAGGGAGGAGCAGAGAUAACUGCAGCUAAGUCAGAAGGAGAAGCCUCAGGACUAAGAUGUGUGAUUUGAGAGACAUCAGAAAGCUUCUGGCUUUUGGUUCUAAAAUCUCUUCCAGACCUCAAAUCUUCCAAUUUUAUGUUUGACCCUCCCGCCUGCUCCCAUUCCAUACCAUGGGAGCCAUCAAAUUUUAGGCUUUCAGACCCAAGGAUGUAAGAAAUAGUUUGCCCAAGUACAGUUAAUGAGGAGAACAACUGUGUAAUCUCAUCUUCCAGGUUAACCAUAAUUUCUCUCUACAGACUUUUUUUUAACCCCUUGUCUUUGAAUCAUUACUGUGUAUUGGUUCUUUAAAAAUUAAAUUUAUACCUCUA